CGUAGGGGCGGGUGCGACGGACCCUGGUGAACCCCGCCAGGCCCGAAAGGGAGCAACGGUAGCCAGGCUCUCCGGGUGCUGCCCGUUUCCUACGUAGC
rnacentral:SRP_RNA from 1 species